ensembl:lncRNA
CAAGGAGAUUACGUCUACUGUGGUGCUCCUGUCAGCUGUCAGCAUCACUUCCUCAGAGAAGUCCAUGUGAUGUGCUCAGCCUGACCUCUGCUUUAGCUAGCAUGGACCUGUCUAAGGCUGCUCCUGUCAUGUGAUCCCCACAGGGGUUCUGACACUUGUCCUUCUCCUUCGUCUAGCAAUAAUGCAGGGAGAAGUGGGUGCCAUGCUCUCAGCCUCCCUCUGUGCAUCACGAUGUUGGAAGAUUUGCAUCCCCAGGAUCAGAAGCAUGGUAUCAUCUCUCAAAAUGAAAAGUUACAGCCAACUUCAUUACAAACAAUUCAGUCCUCUCCAGCUGCGAUUUUGCUGAGUUUGCUGCCACCCCCUAAGAAAGACGUGAAGGGUCCAAGGAUUCCAAGGAUUGACCCCCCAGGCAAGCCUUUACCUCAGUGGAGUAUGGUUGUGUGUCUAGAUAGACAUCCAUGUUUCUUACUUUCCUUUGGUGCUACAAAGAAUAAAGGAACAGGAAAAAAAAAAAAAAAAGAUUAAAAAAAGAAAUGAAGUAAGUGUAAAGCAGAAGAUCAAUUUUUUUUUUUUUUUUUUUGUUUAGACAAAUGCAGAAAAUUCAUCAGAUUAAAACAACUUUAAAGGCUUUGUUAAAUUUUCUUGAAAAAUAUAAGUUAUUUUUGGUUAGAAGACAUGGGCUAGCUAAAUGUAGUGAAUCUAAAUAUUGAACCUGAUAUAUUUUCCUGAUAUAUUAAAAGGAGACUUUUGGCACUGAAAGCUCUGAAAUAGACUUUCCUUACUAUAUAAAUGGUUAUACUAUCACUACUCAAUUUUCUCUGUUUAAAAGUGGCUCUUCGUCUAUAUUCCAAUUAGUAGAAAAGCAUAUGCGUAUAAUUGCACUUUCACAUUCUUAAAAAUAAAUUCAUUUAUUGAAAC